CAUGGAUUUUGGGUGGUUGGUAUCUAACAGACAAGAUCAUUCUUACAAAUGUACUAUCCAUCUUUUAAGAUUGGACUGAUCUAAAUUCUAUGCUAACAAAAUUGAAUUCUUCCUUCAAUAUCGGCGGAAUAUGUAUGUAAAGAAGUUAGAAUCCAUGGAUCAUUCACAUAUGUAUAAGCAUGCAUACAUCAGAAAGUGGGAGACAGUUGUGACA
rnacentral:lncRNA from 1 species